rnacentral:misc_RNA from 1 species
GAUGAAGAACGCAGCGAAAUGCGAUAAGUAAUGUGAAUUGCAGAAUUCAGUGAAUCAUCGAAUCUUUGAACGCAUCUUGCGCUCCUUGGUAUUCUGAGGAGCAUGCCUGUUUGAGUGUCAUUAAAUUCUCAACUACACUGACUUUGAAUUGGUGUGGCUUGGAUUUGGGGGGAAAAUUGUUGUGGGCUUUUUGUAUUGUCUGCUCCCCUGAAAUUGAUUAGCGGUACCUUUGUGGAACUGUCUACAGGUGUGAUAAUUAUCUACAUCUUAGACAUCUGCUGGAAUGCUGCUUUCUAAACCUUACUUGUAUUGACAAUCUUGACCUCAAAUCAGGUAGGACUACCCGCUGAACUUAAGCAUAUCAAUAAGCGGAGGG